rnacentral:rRNA from 1 species
AGUGAACGCUGGCGGUAGGCCUAACACAUGCAAGUCGAACGGCAGCACAGGAGAGCUUGCUCUCUGGGUGGCGAGUGGCGGACGGGUGAGGAAUACAUCGGAAUAUACUCUGUCGUGGGGGAUAACGUAGGGAAACUUACGCUAAUACCGCAUACGACCUACGGGUGAAAGCAGGGGACCUUCGGGCCUUGCGCGAUUGAAUGAGCCGAUGUCGGAGUAGCUAGUGGGCGGGGUCAAGGCCCACCAAGGCGACGAUCCGUAGCUGGUCUGAGAGGAUGAGCAGCCACACUGGAACUGAGACACGGUCCAGAAUCCUACGGGAGGCAGCAGUAGGGAAUAUUGGACAAUGGGCGCAAGCCUGAUCCAGCCAUACCGCGUGGGUGAAGAAGGCCUUCGGGUUGUAAAGCCCUUUUGUUGGGAAAGAAAUCCAGCUGGCUAAUACCCGGUUGGGAUGACGGUACCCAAAGAAUAAGCACCGGCUAACUUCGUGUCAGCAGCCGCCGUAA